rnacentral:other from 1 species
GGUUCCCUGGGAUGUACGCCAGCAGGCUAAUGUCCCUGAGCCGAUGCUUUUUAAUCAGGGGAUCGCUGGCCCGUCAUGAGCAAGCCCGGCAAGUACCGGGAAGCCUACGACGGAUACCAAUCGCUCCCCGCCUUGAACCAAUGGGUUCAAGGGCUACAGCCACGCAGCGGCAUUCUGGGGAACCA